UUAAGUUAUUAAGGGCGCACGGUGGAUGCCUUGGCACUAGAAGCCGAUGAAGGACGUUACUAACGACGAUAUGCUUUGGGGAGCUGUAAGUAAGCUUUGAUCCAGAGAUUUCCGAAUGGGGAAACCCAGCAUGAGUUAUGUCAUGUUAUCGAUAUGUGAAUACAUAGCAUAUCAGAAGGCACACCCGGAGAACUGAAACAUCUUAGUACCCGGAGGAAGAGAAAGAAAAUUCGAUUCCCUUAGUAGCGGCGAGCGAAACGGGAAGAGCCCAAACCAACAAGCUUGCUUGUUGGGGUUGUAGGACACUCUAUACGGAGUUACAAAGGACGACAUUAGACGAAUCAUCUGGAAAGAUGAAUCAAAGAAGGUAAUAAUCCUGUAGUCGAAAAUGUUGUCUCUCUUGAGUGGAUCCUGAGUACGACGGAGCACGUGAAAUUCCGUCGGAAUCUGGGAGGACCAUCUCCUAAGGCUAAAUACUCUCUAGUGACCGAUAGUGAACCAGUACCGUGAGGGAAAGGUGAAAAGCACCCCGGAAGGGGAGUGAAAUAGAACCUGAAACCGUGUGCUUACAAGUAGUCAGAGCCCGUUAAUGGGUGAUGGCGUGCCUUUUGUAGAAUGAACCGGCGAGUUACGAUUUGAUGCAAGGUUAAGCAGUAAAUGUGGAGCCGUAGCGAAAGCGAGUCUGAAUAGGGCGUUUAGUAUUUGGUCGUAGACCCGAAACCAGGUGAUCUACCCUUGGUCAGGUUGAAGUUCAGGUAACACUGAAUGGAGGACCGAACCGACUUACGUUGAAAAGUGAGCGGAUGAACUGAGGGUAGCGGAGAAAUUCCAAUCGAACCUGGAGAUAGCUGGUUCUCUCCGAAAUAGCUUUAGGGCUAGCCUCAAGUGAUGAUUAUUGGAGGUAGAGCACUGUUUGGACGAGGGGCCCCUCUCGGGUUACCGAAUUCAGACAAACUCCGAAUGCCAAUUAAUUUAACUUGGGAGUCAGAACAUGGGUGAUAAGGUCCGUGUUCGAAAGGGAAACAGCCCAGACCACCAGCUAAGGUCCCAAAAUAUAUGUUAAGUGGAAAAGGAUGUGGCGUUGCCCAGACAACUAGGAUGUUGGCUUAGAAGCAGCCAUCAUUUAAAGAGUGCGUAAUAGCUCACUAGUCGAGUGACACUGCGCCGAAAAUGUACCGGGGCUAAACAUAUUACCGAAGCUGUGGAUUGUCCUUUGGACAAUGGUAGGAGAGCGUUCUAAGGGCGUUGAAGCAUGAUCGUAAGGACAUGUGGAGCGCUUAGAAGUGAGAAUGCCGGUGUGAGUAGCGAAAGACGGGUGAGAAUCCCGUCCACCGAUUGACUAAGGUUUCCAGAGGAAGGCUCGUCCGCUCUGGGUUAGUCGGGUCCUAAGCUGAGGCCGACAGGCGUAGGCGAUGGAUAACAGGUUGAUAUUCCUGUACCACCUAUAAUCGUUUUAAUCGAUGGGGGGACGCAGUAGGAUAGGCGAAGCGUGCGAUUGGAUUGCACGUCUAAGCAGUAAGGCUGAGUAUUAGGCAAAUCCGGUACUCGUUAAGGCUGAGCUGUGAUGGGGAGAAGACAUUGUGUCUUCGAGUCGUUGAUUUCACACUGCCGAGAAAAGCCUCUAGAUAGAAAAUAGGUGCCCGUACCGCAAACCGACACAGGUAGUCAAGAUGAGAAUUCUAAGGUGAGCGAGCGAACUCUCGUUAAGGAACUCGGCAAAAUGACCCCGUAACUUCGGGAGAAGGGGCGCUCUUUAGGGUUAACGCCCAGAAGAGCCGCAGUGAAUAGGCCCAAGCGACUGUUUAUCAAAAACACAGGUCUCUGCUAAACCGUAAGGUGAUGUAUAGGGGCUGACGCCUGCCCGGUGCUGGAAGGUUAAGAGGAGUGGUUAGCUUCUGCGAAGCUACGAAUCGAAGCCCCAGUAAACGGCGGCCGUAACUAUAACGGUCCUAAGGUAGCGAAAUUCCUUGUCGGGUAAGUUCCGACCCGCACGAAAGGCGUAACGAUUUGGGCACUGUCUCAACGAGAGACUCGGUGAAAUCAUAGUACCUGUGAAGAUGCAGGUUACCCGCGACAGGACGGAAAGACCCCGUGGAGCUUUACUGUAGCCUGAUAUUGAAAUUCGGCACAGCUUGUACAGGAUAGGUAGGAGCCUUUGAAACGUGAGCGCUAGCUUACGUGGAGGCGCUGGUGGGAUACUACCCUAGCUGUGUUGGCUUUCUAACCCGCACCACUUAUCGUGGUGGGAGACAGUGUCAGGCGGGCAGUUUGACUGGGGCGGUCGCCUCCUAAAAGGUAACGGAGGCGCUCAAAGGUUCCCUCAGAAUGGUUGGAAAUCAUUCAUAGAGUGUAAAGGCAUAAGGGAGCUUGACUGCGAGACCUACAAGUCGAGCAGGGUCGAAAGACGGACUUAGUGAUCCGGUGGUUCCGCAUGGAAGGGCCAUCGCUCAACGGAUAAAAGCUACCCCGGGGAUAACAGGCUUAUCUCCCCCAAGAGUUCACAUCGACGGGGAGGUUUGGCACCUCGAUGUCGGCUCAUCGCAUCCUGGGGCUGUAGUCGGUCCCAAGGGUUGGGCUGUUCGCCCAUUAAAGCGGUACGCGAGCUGGGUUCAGAACGUCGUGAGACAGUUCGGUCCCUAUCCGUCGUGGGCGUAGGAAAUUUGAGAGGAGCUGUCCUUAGUACGAGAGGACCGGGAUGGACAUACCUCUGGUGUACCAGUUGUCGUGCCAACGGCAUAGCUGGGUAGCUAUGUGUGGACGGGAUAAGUGCUGAAAGCAUCUAAGCAUGAAGCCCCCCUCAAGAUGAGAUUUCCCAACUUCGGUUAUAAGAUCCCUCAAAGAUGAUGAGGUUAAUAGGUUCGAGGUGGAAGCAUGGUGACAUGUGGAGCUGACGAAUACUAAUCGAUCGAAGACUUAAUCAA
rnacentral:rRNA from 2 species